rnacentral:rRNA from 1 species
AGUGAACGCUGGCGGUAGGCCUAACACAUGCAAGUCGAACGGCAGCACAGUAAGAGCUUGCUCUUACGGGUGGCGAGUGGCGGACGGGUGAGGAAUACAUCGGAAUCUACUUUUUCGUGGGGGAUAACGUAGGGAAACUUACGCUAAUACCGCAUACGACCUACGGGUGGAAGCAGGGGAUCUUCGGACCUUGCGCGAUUGAAUGAGCCGAUGUCGGAUUAGCUAGUUGGCGGGGUAAAGGCCCACCAAGGCGACGAUCCGUAGCUGGUCUGAGAGGAUGAUCAGCCACACUGGAACUGAGACACGGUCCAGACUCCUACGGGAGGCAGCAGUGGGGAAUAUUGGACAAUGGGCGCAAGCCUGAUCCAGCCAUACCGCGUGGGUGAAGAAGGCCUUCGGGUUGUAAAGCCCUUUUGUUGGGGAAGAAAAGCAGCAGGUUAAUACCCCGCUGUUCUGACGGUACCCAAAGAAUAAGCACCGGCUAACUUCGUG